rnacentral:rRNA from 1 species
UACGUAGGGUGCAAGCGUUGUCCGGAAUUAUUGGGCGUAAAGAGCUCGUAGGCGGUUUGUCGCGUCUGCCGUGAAAGUCCGGGGCUCAACUCCGGAUCUGCGGUGGGUACGGGCAGACUAGAGUGAUGUAGGGGAGACUGGAAUUCCUGGUGUAGCGGUGAAAUGCGCAGAUAUCAGGAGGAACACCGAUGGCGAAGGCGGUUCUCUGGGCCUGUACUGACGCUGAGGCACGAAAGCUAGGGGAGCAAACAGG